rnacentral:rRNA from 1 species
GACCCACCUGAUUCCAUGCCGAACUCAGAAGUGAAACGAAUUAGCGCCGAUGGUAGUGUGGGGCUUCCCCAUGUGAGAGUAGGACAUCGCCAGGC